rnacentral:misc_RNA from 1 species
AGGAGGAGACUUUUAGAGAGAGAGUAGGGGAUGGGAAGUGUAGGAGAAAUUGAGGAAAUAGAGAAGUGGGUGUCACCAGCUGCAGCCAAAAGAUCAAUGCCUAUUCUGUCUUUAAACCACGUCUCAUUUGUUUGCAAAUCUGUUCCUGAAUCUGUAAGGUUCUAUGAGGAUGUUUUAGGAUUUGUACUCAUCAAAAGACCUUCUUCCUUCAAUUUUGAAGGAGCUUGGUUGUUCAACUAUGGAGUUGGCAUUCAUUUGCUUGAAUCAGAUAAAGUCCCAUCAAAGAAAGGUGCAAUCAAUCCAAAAGACAACCACACUUCCUUCCAAUGUUCAGACAUGGAUCUUGUUGUUAAAAAACUAGAGGAGAAGAACAUAAAGUAUGUGACCGCAGUUGUAGAAGAG